UACAGACGGCGCAAGCGUUAUCCGGAAUGAUUGGGCGUAAAGCGUCUGUAGGUGGUUUCCGAAGUCUACUGUCAAAUCCCAGGGCUCAACCUUGGACAGGCAGUGGAGAACUCGGAGGCUAGAGUACGGUAGGGGUAGAGGGAAUUCCCGGUGAAGCAGUGAAAUGCACAGAGAUCGGGAAGAACACCAGUGGCGAAGGCGCUCUACUAGGCCGUGACUGACACUGAGAGACGAUAGCUAGGGGAGCGAAUAGG
rnacentral:rRNA from 1 species